UCAGCCUGGAUACAGGCCACUGACAGCCCAAAAGCACCCCAAGGAAUAGUUGGCGUUUCCUGGUGAUGGCAGCACGGGCUGCGUGCAGAGGGGCUCAGACAGCAAUUCCUGGUUCCAGCCUCCCAGAGCUCCCAGGCAGCUGCCAGCUAUUAAAUGCCAACCGACAGCCUGCAGAGAUGCCUUAAAAUCAAAGGUUCAGGUGGGAUGAAGUUUUGUUUGGAUGAAGGUGGGAGUUUCCAGGGAUCCAGCUGGAAGUGCAGGAGGGAUGGAAAGCUUUCCCAACUUGUAAAACUUAUCCUGGAAUUCAGAAGCAGGGUUGGCUCUGACCUUCACCUCUGAUCCCACUUUGUGCAAACAACACUUGUGCCAGGGUGCUGGACUUGCCUCUGUGGAUGUGUUGCUGAGCUCUCACUGCAGGGGAUUGUCAGGC